AGCCACCAGCAAAACCUUGAAAAUAGGAGUCAAAUGCAAACAGACUUGAUUAAGUCAGAGCCUUUAGAUGACCCCCUCAAGAGGAAAACCCCACCAAAACUCACCAAGAAAAAGCUUAUUUUGUGUAAGAAGAAGGUCUGGUUUAAAAGCCCCAUCACUACCGAGGCUUUUAAAGCCCAACGCAGCACACCCUCCUGCUCAACCACUCAG